AUGACUAAACACAAAUGCGUGAUAACGGGUCAAAUGGAUGUUGAUAAACCAAUUAACAAGUUUGGGGUAAAAGAAUGAUUUAGAACACAUGCUUGAUGAUGGGUUGGAUAAGUAACUAGGUAUUAUGAGAUAAAUGCCCAUGUUACGUGUUCUAAUGAUUUGCAAGUUUGAUUUGUUGUCAAGAUAGGUGGCAUAACGUUUGGAUGGCAACGGGUCAAACGGGUGAUAAAGCAACAACAUUCCUACGGGCAAAGGUGAUAAGUCAUGAAAAUCAACGGGGUGACUUGAACCAGAAUCAUGAAAGAAGAAAACAUCUCACAAGUCAUUCACCAAUAAUUCGAUUCGGGUGGUAGGAAGGCGAAAGUGAUCAAGUUUUUGAAGCGGGUCAACGAUGUGAAGAUUUAGUGAUGCCUUGUUCACUAAGUAAUAUGGGUUUUCUUAUUGGGUCAACUUGACUUAGUUAGUUGCAUUUUAGAGUUUAACUUUAAUGUUUAUUUUAGCCAAGUGCUAGUAUGUCAAUGUAGUAGUGGGUUAUAUUUGUUUUAUAAAAACCUUGGUUAAUAAGCA